GAGCCUUGAUGUGUAGGAUAGGUGGGAGGCUUUGAAGCGUGGACGCCAGUCUGCGUGGAGCCAACCUUGAAAUACCACCCUUUAAUGUUUGAUGUUCUAACGUAGGCCCCUGACCGGGGUUGCGGACAGUGUCUGGUGGGUAGUUUGACUGGGGCGGUCUCCUCCCAAAGAGUAACGGAGGAGCACGAAGGUUAGCUAAUCCUGGUCGGACAUCAGGAGGUUAGU
rnacentral:rRNA from 1 species